CGGUACGAUCGCGGCGGGAUAUC
rnacentral:miRNA from 1 species